UACGGAAAACCUCAUUUUUUACACAAUUUUUUAUUUUUCUUUCGAAAAUGACAAUUUGUAGAAAGAAAAUAAUAUCAAAAAAUUGACCGCGGACUAAAAUCCAAGCAUCUUACAAAACAUCUUAAACAAUCGCAGUGCUCACAGACUUCCCACCUCUUUUUAGCCAGUCUAUUAAACAAAGAUAAAACAUCGGCCUUCUGGCGAUUUGUACUUCAGGAUGUGCAAGUGAUUGUGUAUCUCUUUCUAUCUCACUGAUUUUGAGGAUUACGGGGCCGUAUCCAGAUAAAUUUUUGGGCUGUUUUUGUAAUACUUUCAUCGUGUUUUAAAGAGAUCUUUAAGGAUGGAUCUAUCACCUUUAAAAUAGUUCUGUUGGAUGGGUCAAUCACCUUUAAUAAUUGGGAGCGGAGUCAUAUGAGGUUAUUAUUUAAUGGGUUUUACUUUUCACACAUUUAUGAAAAUGGAGAAUUUAGAAUUUGGCCUUUAUUCGUCUAAAUUUUUUGCAAUUUUUACUGUAAGGAAAUGUGUUUGUUUAUUUGUGUUUGUGGAUUUGUUUUGGUAUUAUACCUAAAGACCUUAAAAUGUUUCGACCCUGGGCAAAUAGGCAGGAAAAUUUGGCAAAUGAAAAGAAAAGUGUUUGUGCGGGCUUAUGAAGACCGUGGGUACACAACUAUACAGUGAUUUAGACUCACAUAGUUCUGAAGUACAGACGACAAACAAAUUUGUUUAAAUGUCUAUAAUAAUCUAAGGAAUGAGCCUCAGUUCACAAAUAAUUGUAGUGCUUUCCAAAAAACAGCGUUUUUAACAGGGGUUCCCUAUAGUACAAUAUGCUAUUUUGUAAAAAAAGGAAAAAUGCAGGACAAUCAAAGGGACUUGUCAUGGAUAUUGCCAAAUUGCUACGGGAAGUUGUGUAUUCUAAAUACAAAAACAAUGAGGUUUUGACCAUAGAGAUGGUUAAGCACAUCUUAUCGGCAAGGGACAAACAUUUCUCAGUCUCAACCUUGCGGAGAUACCUGAUAAAACUUGGAGUUAAGUUUAAGAUGGUUAACAAAAGGGCUGCUGUAAUAGAAAGUACUCGAAUUGUCAGGUGGCGUAUAGAAUAUUUAGAAAUUGAAGAUCUGUGGCUAAACUAGUUAUUGUUCCAUAUGCCUACUGCCCCUGUUGUUCUUCAGCGAUACAAUAAAGACUGCUCCUUCCUCCACCCUCUAGGAAAAAAAUCCUCUUUUGCUAUGUUUUUGUCCAUGAUUUGUCUUACAGAGACACUACAAAACCGGUCUAAUUAUUUGUUUUUACAAUUACUGCCACACUUGUUCUGUCCCAGAGAGGCAAGACUACUUCUUUCAUAAUUUACUGGAAGAAAAAAGGCUAUUUUACAUGUGAGUUGUAGGUAUUAAAAAAAAAUUAUUGUAAAUUUAUUAUUAUUAAUUAAAUGUAAAAAUUAUUUCUGCUACUCGUGUACAGUUCUUAAAUCUGCUUUAGUAACCAUAUGCUUCAGUGCGAGAGGAGGUUGGAAUCCCUAGCGGCAACAGAAAAACUGUUUCCUUCCUUAGUGGAAGAAACUGGUAAAGAAGAGCUUGAGAAGAAUGAGUUUAGAAAAUUGUAAUAACUCUUUGAGCCAGAUUCAAAUGAGUGGUUAAAUUUAUAAUAGUAUUUAGUAUCCUCACUAAUUCUAGGACCCAGUAUAGUUGAUGUGUUUUGUAUAAGAUUUUUAGUUUUUAGUAUAAGCAUUUAUUUUUUGUUAAUUUUCUUUCUCCGAUUAUGCACAAUAACU